rnacentral:rRNA from 1 species
UACGAAGGGAGCUAGCGUUGUUCGGAAUUACUGGGCGUAAAGGGCGCGUAGGCGGUUCGACAAGUUGGAUGUGAAAGCCCAGGGCUCAACCCUGGAAUUGCAUUCAAGACUGUCUUACUUGAAUUCGGUAGAGGUUGGUGGAAUUCCCAGUGUAGAGGUGAAAUUCGUAGAUAUUGGGAAGAACACCCGUGGCGAAGGCGGCCAACUGGACCGACAUUGACGCUGAGGCGCGAAAGCGUGGGGAUCAAACAGG